rnacentral:rRNA from 1 species
AGCGAACGCUGGCGGCAGGCUUAACACAUGCAAAUCGAGCGGGCAUCCUUGUGGUGUCAGCGGCAGACGGGUGAGUAACGCGUGGGAACGUGCCCUUCGGUUCGGAAUAACUCAGGGAAACUUGAGCUAAUACCGGAUACGUGCGAGAGCAGAAAGGUUUAUCUGCCGAAGGAUCGGCCCGCGUCUGAUUAGCUAGUUGGUGAGGUUACGGCUCACCAAGGCGACGAUCAGUAGCUGGUCUGAGAGGCUGAUCAGCCACACUGGGACUGAGACACGGCCCAGACUCCUACGGGAGGCAGCAGUGGGGAAUAUUGGACAAUGGGGGCAACCCUGAUCCAGCCAUGCCGCGUGAGUGAUGACGGCCUUAGGGUUGUAAAGCUCUUUUCUCCGGGACGAUAAUGACGGUACCGGAGGAAUAAGCCCCGGCUAACUUCGUG